CCUUUCGGGGUACACGAGCGGCGAACGGGUGAGUAACACGUGGGUGAUCUGCCCUGCACUCUGGGAUAAGCUUGGGAAACUGGGUCUAAUACCGGAUAUGACCGCAUGCCGCAUGGUGUGUGGUGGAAAGAUUUAUCGGUGCAGGAUGGGCCCGCGGCCUAUCAGCUUGUUGGUGGGGUAAUGGCCUACCAAGGCGACGACGGGUAGCCGACCUGAGAGGGUGACCGGCCACACUGGGACUGAGACACGGCCCAGACUCCUACGGGAGGCAGCAGUGGGGAAUAUUGCACAAUGGGCGGAAGCCUGAUGCAGCGACGCCGCGUGAGGGAUGAAGGCCUUCGGGUUGUAAACCUCUUUCAGCAGGGACGAAGCGUGAGUGACGGUACCUGCAGAAGAAGCACCGGCUAACUACGUGCCAGCAGCCGCGGUAAUACGUAGGGUGCGAGCGUUGUCCGGAAUUACUGGGCGUAAAGAGUUCGUAGGCGGUUUGUCGCGUCGUUUGUGAAAACCCGGGGCUCAACUUCGGGCUUGCAGGCGAUACGGGCAGACUUGAGUGUUUCAGGGGAGACUGGAAUUCCUGGUGUAGCGGUGAAAUGCGCAGAUAUCAGGAGGAACACCGGUGGCGAAGGCGGGUCUCUGGGAAACAACUGACGCUGAGGAACGAAAGCGUGGGUAGCAAACAGGAUUAGAUACCCUGGUAGUCCACGCCCGUAAACGGUGGGCGCUAGGUGUGGGUUCCUUCCACGGGAUCUGUGCCGUAGC
rnacentral:rRNA from 1 species